rnacentral:rRNA from 1 species
AUUGAACGCUGGCGGCAUGCCUUACACAUGCAAGUCGAACGGCAGCACGGGAGCAAUCCUGGUGGCGAGUGGCGAACGGGUGAGUAAAGUAUCGGAACGUGCCCAGUCGUGGGGGAUAACGUGGCGAAAGUUACGCUAAUACCGCAUACGAUCUAUGGAUGAAAGCGGGGGAUCGCAAGACCUCGCGCGAUUGGAGCGGCCGAUAUCAGAUUAGGUAGUUGGUGGGGUAAAGGCUCACCAAGCCGACGAUCUGUAGCUGGUCUGAGAGGACGACCGGCCACACUGGGAAGGAGCAACGGCCCAGACUCCUACGGGAGGCAGCAGUGGGGAAUUUUGGACAAUGGGCGAAAGCCUGAUCCAGCCAUGCCGCGUGCAGGAUGAAGGCCUUCGGGUUGUAAACUGCUUUUGUACGGAACGAAAAGGUUUGGCCUAAUAAGCUGAGCUCAUGACGGUACCGUAAGAAUAAGCACCGGCUAACUACGUGCCAGCAGCCGCCGUAA